GGCUGGUCUGGAGAUACUGAGUUAUCUCCAUUGAUUGUUCCCUGUCAGGUACAGAUAGAACUGCUUGUUCUCCUCUUUCCCCCUUCUCACUACUGCACUUGACUAGUACUAA
rnacentral:Y_RNA from 1 species